CGCGUAGGCGGCCCGCUAAGUCGAACGUGAAAUCCCGGGCUUAACCCGGGAACUGCGUCCGAUACUGGUGGGCUUGAAUCCGGGAGAGGGAUGCGGGAAUUCCAGGUGUAGCGGUGAAAUGCGUAGAUAUCUGGAGGAACACCGGUGGCGAAGGCGGCAUCCUGGACCGGUAUUGACGCUGAGGCGCGAAAGCUAGGGGAGCAAACG
rnacentral:rRNA from 1 species